rnacentral:rRNA from 1 species
ACUAAGCGUACACGGUGGAUGCCCUGGCAGUCAGAGGCGAUGAAGGACGUGCUAAUCUGCGAUAAGCGUCGGUAAGGUGAUAUGAACCGUUAUAACCGGCGAUUUCCGAAUGGGGAAACCCAGUGUGAUUCGUCACACUAUCAUUAACUGAAUCCAUAGGUUAAUGAGGCGAACCGGGGGAACUGAAACAUCUAAGUACCCCGAGGAAAAGAAAUCAACCGAGAUUCCCCCAGUAGCGGCGAGCGAACGGGGAGGAGCCCAGAGCCUGAAUCAGUGUGUGUGUUAGUGGAAGCGUCUGGAAAGGCGCGCGAUACAGGGUGACAGCCCCGUACACAAAAAUGCACAUGCUGUGAGCUCGAUGAGUAGGGCGGGACACGUGGUAUCCUGUCUGAAUAUGGGGGGACCAUCCUCCAAGGCUAAAUACUCCUGACUGACCGAUAGUGAACCAGUACCGUGAGGGAAAGGCGAAAAGAACCCCGGCGAGGGGAGUGAAAAAGAACCUGAAACCGUGUACGUACAAACAGUGGGAGCACAGAGCAAUCUGUGUGACUGCGUACCUUUUGUAUAAUGGGUCAGCGACUUAUAUUCUGUAGCAAGGUUAACCGAAUAGGGGAGCCGAAGGGAAACCGAGUCUUAACUGGGCGUUAAGUUGCAGGGUAUAGACCCGAAACCCGGUGAUCUAGCCAUGGGCAGGUUGAAGGUUGGGUAACACUAACUGGAGGACCGAACCGACUAAUGUUGAAAAAUUAGCGGAUGACUUGUGGCUGGGGGUGAAAGGCCAAUCAAACCGGGAGAUAGCUGGUUCUCCCCGAAAGCUAUUUAGGUAGCGCCUCGUGAAUUCAUCUCCGGGGGUAGAGCACUGUUUCGGCAAGGGGGUCAUCCCGACUUACCAACCCGAUGCAAACUGCGAAUACCGGAGAAUGUUAUCACGGGAGACACACGGCGGGUGCUAACGUCCGUCGUGAAGAGGGAAACAACCCAGACCGCCAGCUAAGGUCCCAAAGUCAUGGUUAAGUGGGAAACGAUGUGGGAAGGCCCAGACAGCCAGGAUGUUGGCUUAGAAGCAGCCAUCAUUUAAAGAAAGCGUAAUAGCUCACUGGUCGAGUCGGCCUGCGCGGAAGAUGUAACGGGGCUAAACCAUGCACCGAAGCUGCGGCAGCGACACUGUGUGUUGUUGGGUAGGGGAGCGUUCUGUAAGCCUGUGAAGGUGUGCUGUGAGGCAUGCUGGAGGUAUCAGAAGUGCGAAUGCUGACAUAAGUAACGAUAAAGCGGGUGAAAAGCCCGCUCGCCGGAAGACCAAGGGUUCCUGUCCAACGUUAAUCGGGGCAGGGUGAGUCGACCCCUAAGGCGAGGCCGAAAGGCGUAGUCGAUGGGAAACAGGUUAAUAUUCCUGUACUUGGUGUUACUGCGAAGGGGGGACGGAGAAGGCUAUGUUGGCCGGGCGACGGUUGUCCCGGUUUAAGCGUGUAGGCUGGUUUUCCAGGCAAAUCCGGAAAAUCAAGGCUGAGGCGUGAUGACGAGGCACUACGGUGCUGAAGCAACAAAUGCCCUGCUUCCAGGAAAAGCCUCUAAGCAUCAGGUAACAUCAAAUCGUACCCCAAACCGACACAGGUGGUCAGGUAGAGAAUACCAAGGCGCUUGAGAGAACUCGGGUGAAGGAACUAGGCAAAAUGGUGCCGUAACUUCGGGAGAAGGCACGCUGAUAUGUAGGUGAAGUCCCUCGCGGAUGGAGCUGAAAUCAGUCGAAGAUACCAGCUGGCUGCAACUGUUUAUUAAAAACACAGCACUGUGCAAACACGAAAGUGGACGUAUACGGUGUGACGCCUGCCCGGUGCCGGAAGGUUAAUUGAUGGGGUCAGCGCAAGCGAAGCUCUUGAUCGAAGCCCCGGUAAACGGCGGCCGUAACUAUAACGGUCCUAAGGUAGCGAAAUUCCUUGUCGGGUAAGUUCCGACCUGCACGAAUGGCGUAAUGAUGGCCAGGCUGUCUCCACCCGAGACUCAGUGAAAUUGAACUCGCUGUGAAGAUGCAGUGUACCCGCGGCAAGACGGAAAGACCCCGUGAACCUUUACUAUAGCUUGACACUGAACAUUGAGCCUUGAUGUGUAGGAUAGGUGGGAGGCUUUGAAGUGUGGACGCCAGUCUGCAUGGAGCCGACCUUGAAAUACCACCCUUUAAUGUUUGAUGUUCUAACGUGGACCCGUGAUCCGGGUUGCGGACAGUGUCUGGUGGGUAGUUUGACUGGGGCGGUCUCCUCCUAAAGAGUAACGGAGGAGCACGAAGGUUGGCUAAUCCUGGUCGGACAUCAGGAGGUUAGUGCAAUGGCAUAAGCCAGCUUGACUGCGAGCGUGACGGCGCGAGCAGGUGCGAAAGCAGGUCAUAGUGAUCCGGUGGUUCUGAAUGGAAGGGCCAUCGCUCAACGGAUAAAAGGUACUCCGGGGAUAACAGGCUGAUACCGCCCAAGAGUUCAUAUCGACGGCGGUGUUUGGCACCUCGAUGUCGGCUCAUCACAUCCUGGGGCUGAAGUAGGUCCCAAGGGUAUGGCUGUUCGCCAUUUAAAGUGGUACGCGAGCUGGGUUUAGAACGUCGUGAGACAGUUCGGUCCCUAUCUGCCGUGGGCGCUGGAGAACUGAGGGGGGCUGCUCCUAGUACGAGAGGACCGGAGUGGACGCAUCACUGGUGUUCGGGUUGUCAUGCCAAUGGCACUGCCCGGUAGCUAAAUGCGGAAGAGAUAAGUGCUGAAAGCAUCUAAGCACGAAACUUGCCCCGAGAUGAGUUCUCCCUGACCCUUUAAGGGUCCUGAAGGAACGUUGAAGACGACGACGUUGAUAGGCCGGGUGUGUAAGCGCAGCGAUGCGUUGAGCUAACCGGUACUAAUGAACCGUGAGGCUUAACC